AGCUUUGCGCAGUGGCAGUAUCGUAGCCAAUGAGGUCUAUCCGAGGCGCGAUUAUUGCUAAUAGAAAACACUCAAUGUGGCAGCUGUAGCUGCUCUGGGGGAGAGAGAAGGAUCGCCUGAUGCCAGACUUUUCUGUGAGAUAACUUUUCUGAAUCACUAGGGA
ensembl:snRNA LOC120097636 U4 spliceosomal RNA